UACGUAGGGGGCGAGCGUUGUCCGGAAUUAUUGGGCGUAAAGAGCGUGUAGGCUGUUCGGUAAGUCUGCCGUGAAAACCUGAGGCUCAACCUCGGGCGUGCGGUGGAUACUGCCGGGCUAGAGGACGGUAGAGGCGAGUGGAAUUCCUGGUGUAGCGGUGAAAUGCGCAGAUAUCAGGAAGAACACCCGUGGCGAAGGCGGCUCUCUGGGACGGUACUGACGCUGAGACGCGAAAGCGUGGGGAGCGAACAGG
rnacentral:rRNA from 1 species